rnacentral:lncRNA from 1 species
UAUGAAGAUGCUUGCUGGAUUUUGAGGAUUGGAAGAAGCCAUUCACGCCACUUGGAACCUUGAACCAAGAUAAGUGAUGGAGUGCCACCACUUGAAGCUCACCAUAGCUCACAAGAUAAGGCAAAGAAGAGGAAGACUCAAAACUCAAAUUCUCUCCCAAAUUGAGUAUAGUCUCUCUACUAUAAAAUUCCAAUCUGAAUUGUACAAGCUAAGCACCUUUAUUUAUAGCCUAGAGGUGCUGAAAAUGUAAGCCAAAUGGCACACAAAUGACAUGAAAUUCGGCGCCAAUCUAGUCAAUGGAGGAAGUCUGACUUUCCUUCCUAGAUUGGCACCCCCUAGGCUCCUAUCUACACUCCCCCCUAGACUCCCUUACUACUUACACCUUUUUAUUACAUCCACACCCCUAUUCUACAAAAGAAAUAAGAAGAACCAUUUUAUUAUACUCUUGUCCCAAAGCUCUUGCCAUGCUCCUAGUAAUUCGUUGGGCUUGGGCCCCUUGUUGGGCUUGG